CGGCGAAGCGACCCUUGGCGGUUCCGAAGGCUUUUAUUAGAAGAGGGGCGGUAUAAAGGAUUGUUAUACCCAGCGGCGUGCCUCAAGGGCCAUUGCUGUUUAUUAUCUUUGUGAAUGACAUCGACCACUGCUUCCACUCCUCGCAGCUACUCUGUUUUGCUGAUGACAUGAAAAUAUUCGCCCGCAUCUCAUCGAUUGCUGACGCUGAGGCGCUCCAGUCGGAUCUUUCUCGUUUGGAGGAUUACUGUUCAAAUCAUCUGCUCGACUUGAAUCCUGUUAAGUGUAGUAUAGUAACAUAUACUCGCAAACAUAUCCCAAUUAAUUUCCACUACACUCUUAAGGGUGAAAUUCUUGAGAGAAACAAGCUAGUACGAGAUCUUGGAGUGUUUCACGACAGUAAGCUGAUGUUUGACGCCCACAUUGAGAAAAUUACUGCUAAGGCGUAUAAAGCACUUGGGUUUGUGAUGCGUUCAUCAAAAGACUUCGUCAAAAUUAAAACGUUUAAGGUACUGUACUGUACCUUUGUGCGCAGUAACUUGGAGUAUGCGUCGCAGAUCUGGAAUCCUAUGUACCAAAAAUACAUCCAUCAAAUUGAGAACAUACAAAAGAAGUUUGUGCGUUAUGUUUGCUACCGGUUUAAACAGCGAUAUUCAUCUAGUAUGUAUUUGGAUAUGUGCAGGAGAUUUCAUUUGCUCCCUCUCGAGAAACGACGGGAAAUAGCAGACUUGAUUUACUUGUUAAAAAUAACUACUGGUGUUGUUGAUUGUCCAAGCCUGCUAUCAAAAAUAUAUAUUAAGCCCCCUUAUAGAAGUCUGCGUCACAAUAAUUUGAUUUUUCUUCCGCGCGCUACUACUAACUAUCGGCAGAAUACUUAUAUUUGGCGAGCCGCAAAUAGUUUUAAUAACCUAUGCGCUACAACUGAAUUAGAUUUGUUCAACACUGGUUGUGAGGCAGCGAGACGUGAGAUUAGCAAGCAAUUCUUUAACCUGUAGCAUAGAAUAAAUAGUAGUGUAUCUAGGUUGAAUGACGCGUGCAUUGUAAGUGUAGCCUUUUUGUACAUUUUGUGUUUUUGAGACAGUAAUGGUUAACUGCUGACUUUGUUAUUAUGCCUAGUGUAAUGUGCAUUAGUGCAAACCUUUUUGUUUGUUUUUUUUUUUCAAUUUGCUAUCUGCGAGGAACUAUAAUUGGCUUUCUGUUUUUUACCAUAAGUUGCUACUAAAUUAAUUAUAGCUGUUGUUUCUCCGAACAUUAAAUAAAUAAAUAAAUAAAUAAACAUCCAGACAGUCAUUUUAUCUGCAAGUUGUAAAAAGUGAAAAAAAUAGCAAAAUUUUAGUUAUUGUUUGGUAACUUUUUACACGAUUAUUGUCGGCGUCAAGCUAUUUCAAUAGAAAUCGAAGCAAUAUGUAAUAAAAUAUAUUUUUUCUGCUAAAACAUAACAUAGCAUCACUCCUGGAUCCCCGAAGUGGUAGGCAGAAAGACCUCAUAAUUUCAGCGCGCCUCAUCGAGGCAACGUCCGACCCCAGAUCUGGUAGCUAUUUUGCCCAAAGGGUCAGUGUGGCGGUGCAGAGGGGCAACGUGGCCAGUAUUCUGGGGACUUUGUCUCGAUGUGGUGAGCUGGAGGACAUAUUUUUACUUUAAAAUUAUUAUUUUAAUAUUGUUUAUAAUAUUAUGUCUGUGAUUACAAUUGUAGUUGAAUUUGUAUUUGUUUAUUGUAUUUUUAAUUUGUAUUUAAUAAAUCUUUUAUUUUCUUCUUCUUUUAAUCGUGUGGAUUGUGAGGUGGAAUACCAACCUCAUCAACCCUGGUGUCAGGGUUAUGAUUGAGCUGCCAAAGGCCCCUGACAUGGCUCAUGUAACGAUUACUCACUUACAUCAGUAAAUAGUAUCCGGGACCAACGGCUUAACGUGCCUUCCGAAGCACGGAUCAUCUUACUUUCGGAAAAUCAGGUGAUCAGCCUGUAAUGUCCUAACCAAACUAGGGAUCACAGAGUAAUUUUUGUGAUAUGUCCCCACUGGGAUUCGUACCCGGGGCCUCCGGAUCGUGAGUCCAACGCUCAACAGCUGGACCACAGGCCGUAUUAUUCUUUUAUUUUGAUUGUCUAUGAUCCAACAUGAAUUCAUACUCAUAAAGUCAAGGUUUAGAGCCAGACGCGGGAUUCGAACCCGUAACAUUGCGAUAUAAGUCACACGUUCUUCGAACAGGGCUAACACGGAUUUUCUUCUAUCCAGAUUAGAAUCCUAAGCACGUGAUGCCGCUAACUUAAGUAGUAACCCUUAUCGUUAUUGGUAACAAUUGGUAAUAAUAUUACCCUGUCUCGUAACUUGCCGAAAUUCAAUUAUUGUCUCGACGUGUAGGUUUGUUCCUUUAUAGCGUUUUGUGGAACAUUUUUUUUUGCGUAGCUACAUAUGUACUUAAGAAAAUAGUAGUAGCCGUGCCCUCCGAAGCUCGAAUCGUCUUAUUUUCGUACAAUCGGGCGAUCAGCCUGCAAAGUCGUAACCAAAUUAGAGAUCGCAAAGCGAUUUUUGUGAUAUAGAUAUCCUCAUUUUUUUAUUGUAGGUUGGCCGCAAAUGCCAUGACCCACUUGGCCGGACAAAAAUGAGUCUACCAGUUGCUAUCUCUGUAGUCGAAAUCGACGGUGAAGUAUCAUGUACGCCACUUUGUACUAUGCUAUUCACAUUAAAGUGUAUUUGAUUUGAUUUGAUUUGACUAUCAACCCUCAACCAUGAAAGAUCGAAUAAAUUUAAAUCAGGUCAAGAGACAUCAAUCUAGAAAUUCACGAAGACAAUAAACUUGUCAUCCAUUGAAACAGUCUGGAGUCCUUUUAAUAAGCCUCGUUGCGAGCCAUCGACGAUACAACAUCUAGACUCCUAAUAACGGAUGGAACGGUUCUGUCAACAUAUCUGACUAUGAGAUCAUACACGAGCUUUGGCGAAACCUCCACACCCCAUUUGGGGUAAAAUUUAUUGGAUAUAGUCAACCCAUAAGUGGCCGCGCAGCAGCGACCGAGAAACCAAAAUUAAUAAGAUUUUUUUUCCCUUCAUCAUCAUCAUCAGCCCAUUAACGUCCCCACUGCUGGGACACGGGUCUUCCAUAUGGAUGGAUAGGGAGAUCGGGCCUUAAACCAUCACGCGGGCCCAGUGCGGACUGAUGGUUAUUAACGACUGCUAAUGCAGCCGGGACCAGCGGCUUAACGUGCCUUCCGAAGCACGCAGGAAGCAAAUUAAUUUAACAAAUUUGUUAUUACAAAGUGCGUGAAUCUUUAACUAUUAUUAUUAUGUACUAUUAGGCAUCUGUCCUGUAGGUUGGUUGAUAUGGGCUGUCUGCGGUUGCGUUUGAUAACCGAGAAGGGACGGCAAACAAAGUAUGAAGGGUUCUUAUCUACGCCUCCAGCCUGUGACGGGUGUUUUACCUGCUAACUUGCAAACUGUACAGUCCGAUUGUUAGGUAUUGAGGAGGGAAGGGACUGUUUGGCCUGUCCAAACUACAGUGACGAGCCAAAAUUACGAGUCUGGCAGAAAUAAUAACGAUUACUCCAAAAGGAACGAAUAUACCUUCGACAUGUUUUUAUCUAGCCCUAUAGGCGGCCAAUCAGCUCGCGACACCAAACACUUCAGGACCCCGAUACCGACCCCGCCGGCGUGGUCGACGAUUUCCCUCAAUCAGCGCUUAUCGCUAUCGACCCGCCAGGGUCAAUUAAUUCUUUAAAAUAUUUUUUCCUCUCAGACACCCUGAACCGAGGUUCGCGUCCAACUGGGCACCCUCAGGCCUGUUGGCUUAAACGUUGUACCGGGUGAGAGCCUUCAGCGCUCCCCAUUUGUCCGGCCAAGUAGUUAAUGCCAUCUGCGGCAAAUCUACAAUAAGUCACGUCAAAAAAAAAACAGACAUGUUUUUAUUUAAGUAUGUCCUUUUUCUAUCGUGUGGAUUUCAUCUUAAAUGAUUCUGUUCUCUGGGGAUAGGUUAAUGGUCUUGUUUGAAACAAAAAAAGGUUUUGAUAAUUACGCAGAGAAAAUAAUUUUGAAUAAAGAAUUUUACGUGUAUUAGUGGCGGCCCUAGCGAAAUAUACGUAUUUAGGUGGUGCGAGGCCUCAAAGUGGCACCCCUCAGUCCCUUAAAAUACAAACAUUUUCGAUAAAUUUACGGCCACCGAAAUUUACCUGUUUAAAUAUUUUUUUUAAAUGUUGUUUACCCGCCACCCGGUAUGAGUUGUGGCCGCAAUUUAAGAAGUUUAGUUUGCGGCCAGGGUGAACCAGUCUUGGUUGAUUCCCCCCCGGCACACCUCGCACCGCUCUACGUAUCCAUCACCAUCACCAUCAUCAGCCCAUUAACUUCCCCACUGCUGGGGCACGGGCCUUCCCUAUGGAUGGGUAGGGAGAUCGGGCCUAACCAUCACGCGGGCCCAGUGCGGAUUGAUGGUUAUUAACGACUGCUAAUGCAGCCGGGACUAACGGCUUAACGUGCCUUCCGAAGCACGGAGGAGCUCGAGAUGAAGAACUUUUUUUUGUGGUCACCCAUCCAAUGAUUUUAAUUUUACUUUAUUUUUAAAUACUUAAGUACCCUUAAUUGUAUAAGUUAUGUACGCCGUAAUUGUCAUAUAUAUUAGUCACAAUACCGUAACCUUAUAAAUGUAAAAUGUUUUAAUAUAUGUGAUGUGGUUGUACUUUAUAAAUAAAUAAAUAAAUGACCGGC